rnacentral:rRNA from 1 species
UACCAAAGUUAUCGGAAUUACUGGGCGUAAGCGCGCGUAGCGGUUUAUUAAGUCAGAUGUGAAAGCCCCGGGCUCAACCUGGGAAUUGCAUUUGAGACUGGUAGGCUAGAGUGUGGUAGAGGUGAGUGGAAUUUCAGGUGUAGCGGUGAAAUGCAUAGAUAUCACGAAGAACACCGGUGGCGAAGGCGGCCAACUGGUCUAGAACUGACGCUGAGGCACGAGAGCGUGGGGAGCGAACAGGAUUAGAUACCCUGGUAGUCCACGCCGUAAACGAUGUAUGCUAGUUGUUGGCCCUUUGGGGUCAGUGACGCAGUUAACGCAGUAAGCAUACCACCUGGGGAGUACGUUCGCAAGAAUGAAACUCAAAGGAAUUGACGGGGGCCCGCACAAGCGGUGGAGCAUGUGGCUUAAUUCGAUGCAACGCGAAGAACCUUACCCAGGCUAAAUCUAGGAUGACCGGCCGGGAAACCGGCCUUCCCUUCGGGGCGCCCUAGAAGGUGCUGCAUGGCUGUCGUCAGCUCGUGCCGUGAGGUGUUGGGUUAAGUCCCGCAACGAGCGCAACCCCCUGUUGC